GGUGGAGCAUGUGGUUUAAUUCGAUGAUACGCGAGGAACCUUACCAGGGCUUAAAUGGGGACUGACGUACUUGGAAACGAGUAUUUCUUCGGACAGUCUUCAAGGUGCUGCAUGGUUGUCGUCAGCUCGUGCCGUGAGGUGUCGGGUUAAGUCCCAUAACGAGCGCAACCCCUAUUGUUAGUUGCCAGCGGUUCGGCCGGGGACUCUAGCAAAACUGCCAGCGCAAGCUGUGAGGAAGGUGGGGAUGACGUCAAAUCAUCACGGCCCUUACGUCCUGGGCUACACACGUGCUACAAUG
rnacentral:rRNA from 1 species